AUUGAACGCUGGCGGCAGGCUUAACACAUGCAAGUCGAGCGGAGAUGAGGUGCUUGCACCUUAUCUUAGCGGCGGACGGGUGAGUAAUGCUUAGGAAUCUGCCUAUUAGUGGGGGACAACAUUCCGAAAGGAAUGCUAAUACCGCAUACGUCCUACGGGAGAAAGCAGGGGAUCUUCGGACCUUGCGCUAAUAGAUGAGCCUAAGACUGAUUAGCUAGUUGGUGGGGUAAAGGCCUACCAAGGCGACGAUCUGUAGCGGGUCUCAGAGGAUGAUCCGCCGCACUGGGACUGAGACACGGCCCAGACUCCUACGGGAGGCAGCAGUGGGGAAUAUUGGACAAUGGGGGGAACCCUGAUCCAGCCAUGCCGCGUGUGUGAAGAAGGCCUUAUGGUUGUAAAGCACUUUAAGCGAGGAGGAGGCUACUGAGACUAAUACUCUUGGAUAGUGGACGUUACUCGCAGAAUAAGCACCGGCUAACUCUGUGCCAGCCGCCGCGGUAAAAC
rnacentral:rRNA from 1 species